GUAGGUGAACCUGCGGAAGGAUCAUUAAUGAAUCUGCAAAGUCGACCCAUCCUGUGCUGGUGUUCACACAUGUGCACGUUUGGGUCGCAAAUCCACACACCUGUGCAUAUAUGACUCUGGGUGCUUUGCCCUCAUUGUGAGGGAGUUUGACCACCAUCAAACUGGCACUCGAGUAUUUUUCACACACUCUGAAUGUAAAGGAAUG
rnacentral:misc_RNA from 1 species